rnacentral:rRNA from 1 species
CUUGCUUCUCUUGAGAGCGGCGGACGGGUGAGUAAUGCCUAGGAAUCUGCCUGGUAGUGGGGGAUAACGUUCGGAAACGGACGCUAAUACCGCAUACGUCCUACGGGAGAAAGCAGGGGACCUUCGGGCCUUGCGCUAUCAGAUGAGCCUAGGUCGGAUUAGCUAGUUGGUGGGGUAAUGGCUCACCAAGGCGACGAUCCGUAACUGGUCUGAGAGGAUGAUCAGUCACACUGGAACUGAGACACGGUCCAGACUCCUACGGGAGGCAGCAGUGGGGAAUAUUGGACAAUGGGCGAAAGCCUGAUCCAGCCAUGCCGCGUGUGUGAAGAAGGUCUUCGGAUUGUAAAGCACUUUAAGUUGGGAGGAAGGGUUGUAGAUUAAUACUCUGCAAUUUUGACGUUACCGACAGAAUAAGCACCGGCUAACUCUGUGCCAGCAGCCGCGGUAAUACAGAGGGUGCAAGCGUUAAUCGGAAUUACUGGGCGUAAAGCGCGCGUAGGUGGUUUGUUAAGUUGGAUGUGAAAUCCCCGGGCUCAACCUGGGAACUGCAUUCAAAACUGACUGACUAGAGUAUGGUAGAGGGUGGUGGAAUUUCCUGUGUAGCGGUGAAAUGCGUAGAUAUAGGAAGGAACACCAGUGGCGAAGCGACCACCUGGACUAAUACUGACACUGAGGUGCGAAAGCGUGGGGAGCAAACA